AUUGAACGCUGGCGGUAUGCUUAACACAUGCAAGUCGAACGGUAACAGGCCUUCGGGCGCUGACGAGUGGCGGACGGGUGAGUAACGCGUAGGAAUCUGCCUUAUAGUGGGGGACAACGUGGGGAAACCCACGCUAAUACCGCAUACGCCCUACGGGGGAAAGCGGGGGAUCGUAAGACCUCGCGCUAUGAGAUGAGCCCGCGUAGGAUUAGCUAGUUGGUGGGGUAAAGGCCUACCAAGGCGACGAUCCUUAGCUGGUCUGAGAGGAUGAUCAACCACACUGGGACUGAGACACGGCCCAGACUCCUACGGGAGGCAG
rnacentral:rRNA from 1 species